CUGCUCACUUCAGCAGCCCAUACGCUAAAAUUGGAAUGAUACGGAGAAGAUUAGCAUGGUCCCUGCGCAAGGAUGACAUGCAAAGUCAUGAAGCGUUCCAUAUUAAA
rnacentral:snRNA from 1 species